GAUAGUGUUCAGUCAUGUUCAUCCCAUGGGGUUGUUUAAUUUGUACUGAAGGGUAGUGGGGAGAAUCUAUCAUAUGCUUUUUUUUAAUCUUACCAGAGAUGCAGGUUUUAUGCAUUGGAAUUAAUUUUGUGACAUGUUGCUGAUGAAGAAGAGCAAAUAUGGCAAAAACUGUAGCCAUAUUUGGAAACAUUUGAGGAAACACUCCAAUACAUGACAAAGAAACAUAUCACAUGGUUUUGUUACACCUCUUCAAAUAUACCAACAAAAGGGUUUUUCAGGGAUUGCCACUAGGAAGUUUCAAGUAAAUGUGAUUGGCUGUUUACAGAAGCAAGGCCAUAACUUUCAAAGUCAGCAUAAUGAAGUCAAGUUAUUAACGUUUUGACAGCCAGCAAAAAGACACACAGUGUAUUUUUUAUACCCAGUUGAAAUAAUUGCAAUUGUCAAUGAUUAAAUACUUGCAUUCAACAGCAGAUUGAGAAAUAUUUCCUUCUCCAUUUCUGUGAGCUCUUCCAGGAUGUGCUGGGUGAGACAGGUUCGAGUUGGAUGGACAGUGCUACAGAGUAAUACCCUCUGUGAGAGACAACAGGCAGUGGGAGCUGAGGUCUGCCGGGGUCUCCUGAGAAGACACUUUCAGUUCUGGCAGAGCCCUGUUUUAGUCUGUUGGGCCUUUACUCCCACUGAGGGCAGAGAGAGUCUCCCUGAUGCCUUUGUUGGAUGCUGAUCUGGAAUCAGUCUGCACAUGGCCUUUCCUUUUGAAGGCAAAGUACACUUUUAUUUGCCAAAGUUAACAAACAGCAGCAUCAGAACCUAUCCCUGAACAGUUUGAGACUUUAGCCUCUCCAUUCCCUCUGUUGGAUGGAAUGGAUCCACUCCACUGCCUUCUGAGCCAAAGCCUGCAGCCCUUCUACUGGAUUUAUUUAGUGGUGCCUUUUAUUUCAAGGAGAAGUAUGAACUGAGUAAAACUUGAGGGAGAACUGAUGGAUUCACCCCAGAGACAGCAGAAGGAUGUUCUUCACUUCUCAGACUUCUUUAGGAGUGACGGGACAGGCUGCCCUGUGUGGAUCCUCUUUGCAGACGGACAUGACCAGCGGAAAAUGGAGGUGCAUUUCUGAGGGGCAAAUCAGGGGAAACCCACUGCCAGUGACUCUACAGACUAAAAGGUUAGCUGUGUAGAUACCAGGGUAUCAAAGGGCCUGUAGGACGAGGCAUUGGUGGAAAUUGAAAUUAAGUGUUUUGUUUGUCAUCUCUAUGGACACGAGGCCACAAAGCACCACGAAGAGAAGCUGACCAUGGAAUCUCUGGAGCUGGAAAUGCCACAGACUCAGGGCCUUGUUUCUGUAGCUGCCAUGAGUUACACUGCUCAAAGACCUUUUCCUCAUGUCCACAGCUAAUUUUUCCUGGUUAAAUACGAUUGAAGGAUUGUACUCAUUGACUGUUACACAUCAGAGAUUGAUCUGUGGCUGCAUUAACUGACUGUGUUCCCAUGGAUCUUUGUAUUCCUGCACGUUCUGAGAGCUGCUACUCCAAAGUGAAGCCAACUUUUCCUUAUCAUCCCUAUUUUUAAAGCAUGGGCUCAUUGUUUGAUCUGGCAGAUUUCAUUUCAGUGCUCUGAGGUUUAGAGAGGCUGUUUCUAAUACAAAGCCUUAUUGCCACCCCCCUGCUGUACAUGUUUCACUUGAACUUUUCAUAAGUACUGCAAAACUUGAGGGAAGUAAGCAAAGCGUAGGUGGUGCUGAAGUCCAACACUUCGAUCACGAUCCAUUUCUGCAGACAUGCUGCUUCAUUCCCAUCUACAGGGGAAUCUAUUCCCACCUGUAAUCUCCUAUUGAAAGCAAUUAUUUGAUAUCACAAACUUUUUAAACACAUCUGAA